UAGGGAAUUUUGCGCAAUGGGGGAAACCCUGACGCAGCAACGCCGCGUGAUUGAAGAAGCCCUUCGGGGUGUAAAGAUCUGUCAGUGGGGACGAAACUUGACGGUACCCACAGAGGAAGCAUCGGCUAACUCCGUGCC
rnacentral:rRNA from 1 species